GUGGGGAAUAUUGGACAAUGGGCGCAAGCCUGAUCCAGCCAUACCGCGUGGGUGAAGAAGGCCUUCGGGUUGUAAAGCCCUUUUGUUGGGAAAGAAAUCCUGUCGGUUAAUACCUGGCGGGGAUGACGGUACCCAAAGAAUAAGCACCGGCUAACUUCGUGCCAGCAGCCGCGGUAAUACGAAGGGUGCAAGCGUUACUCGGAAUUACUGGGCGUAAAGCGUGCGUAGGUGGUGGUUUAAGUCCGUUGUGAAAGCCCUGGGCUCAACCGGGGAAUUGAAGUGGAUACUGGAUCACUAGAGUGUGGUAGAGGGAUGCGGAAUUUCUGGUGUAGCAGUGAAAUGCGUAGAGAUCAGAAGGAACAUCCGUGGCGAAGGCGGCAUCCUGGGCCAACACUGACACUGAGGCACGAAAGCGUGGGGAGCAAACAGGAUUAGAUACCCGAGUAGUCC
rnacentral:rRNA from 1 species